GAUGAACGCUAGCGGCAGGCUUAAUACAUGCAAGUCGAGGGGCAGCGCAGUGUAGCAAUACAUAGGCGGCGACCGGCAAACGGGUGCGGAACACGUACAGAACCUUCCUUCGAGCGGGGAAUAGCCCAGAGAAAUUUGGAUUAAUACCCCAUAGUAUAGUGGAGAGGCAUCUCUUUACUAUUAAAGAUUUAUCACUUGAAGAUGGCUGUGCGGCUGAUAGGUAGUUGGCGGGGUAACGGCCCACCAAGCCUGCGAUCAGUAACUGGUGUGAGAGCACGACCAGUCACACGGGCACUGAGACACGGGCCCGACUCCUACGGGAGGCAGCAGUGGGGAAUUUUGGACAAUGGGGGCAACCCUGAUCCAGCCAUGCCGCGUGAGGGAAGAAGGCCU
rnacentral:rRNA from 1 species